GAAACCAACAGGGAUUGCCCCAGUAACGGCGAGUGAAGCGGCAAAAGCUCAAAUUUGAAAUCUGGCUCCUUAGGGGUCCGAGUUGUAAUUUGUAGAGGAUGCUUCGGGUGCGGCCACGGCCUAAGUUCCUUGGAACAGGACGUCAUAGAGGGUGAGAAUCCCGUCUUGGGUCGUUGGUCCACGCCCGUGUGAAGCUCCUUCGACGAGUCGAGUUGUUUGGGAAUGCAGCUCUAAGCGGGUGGUAAAUUUCAUCUAAAGCUAAAUAUUGGCCGGAGACCGAUAGCGCACAAGUAGAGUGAUCGAAAGGUUAAAAGCACCUUGAAAAGGGAGUUAAACAGCACGUGAAAUUGUUGAAAGGGAAGCGCUUGCGGCCAGACUCAGGCGCAGGGUUCAGCGGGUGCGUGUCACCCGUGCACUCCCUGCCGCCUGGGCCAGCAUCAGUUCUGACGGCCGGUCAAAGGCCCCCGGAAUGUGUCGUCUCUCGGGACGUCUUAUAGCCGGGGGUGCAAUGCGGCCCGUCGGGACUGAGGAACGCGCUUCGGCUCGGAUGCUGGCAUAAUGGCCGUAAGCGGCCCGUCUUGAAACACGGACCAAGGAGUCUAACAUCCACGCGAGUGUUCGGGUGUCAAACCCGUGCGCGCAGUGAAAGCGAACGGAGGUGGGAGCCUUAGGGCGCACCAUCGACCGAUCCUGAAGUCUUCGGAUGGAUUUGAGUAGGAGCGUGGCCGUUGGGACCCGAAAGAUGGUGAACUAUGCCUGAAUAGGGUGAAGCCAGAGGAAACUCUGGUGGAGGCUCGCAGCGGUUCUGACGUGCAAAUCGAUCGUCAAAUUUGGGCAUAGGGGCGAAAGACUAAUCGAACCAUCUAGUAGCUGGUUCCUGCCGAAGUUUCCCUCAGGAUAGCAGUAACGAAAUUCCAGUUUUAUGAGGUAAAGCGAAUGAUUA
rnacentral:rRNA from 1 species